UACAUUUAUAAUAUUCAUGGAUCUAGCUAGCUAGAAAAAAUUGCUGCCACUAUCCUUCACAAUGAGAAGAUUCUAUUGUUAGUUAGAGAAUUGCUAGCUGUAUUGUCAUUUCUAUUUGACAUUUUCUUCAUUUCUAGUUGUUAUACUAUUUUAUCCUAUUAUGGCAGCAGCUAUAUAUAUAGCCAAUAGGAGAAGAAUGCAAUGAUUAGUAAAUGAUCAAUACAAAUUCUCUACUCUCAUCUAAUUCUUUCUCUUUCUCUCUCUUUUUCCUUCUCCCUUGUUCUUUCUUUAUUUUUCAUCUAAAUAUUCUAUUCUUUCUUAGAUCCUUGUGGAGUUUGCUGGGUAAUGUCAUAGGUACACGACAGCGGAUUGAUUGUCGGGCAGUAAUUAGUGAGCAGAAUCAUCUAAGCUUACUUAUUCAAGAGUUUACUAGGCUGAUAAUGAAGAGAAAGAGAAAGAGGAAAAGGCAGAUCAACUAUAAAAGAAGCCACAAUAAAUUCAGAAGACACCUCAAAUGGAUGGAUGGUCAAUCUUUUUAUGUAGUUUAUGGUUAAUGUAGCGACUGAUAAUGAGGUUCAUUCAUCAAACCAUGAAGAUUAUGAUGAUGAUGAGGAGGAGGAGGAGAAGAAGAAGGAGAAAGAUUAACGAUGAUGCAAUGAAGAAACGAAGAACAGAACUUUAGGAGGCCAUCAAUAAUAAUUUGUUUUCUUGCAUUUAUAUAUGCUACUGAACUUAAAUUCCAAGUGUUAAUAAGGUUUGUCAUGACUCUCAAGGUGCAGUGGAUUAAUUAGUUGAUAGUUAGCUACAUCAAUAUCAUGGUCCGAAAUUAGUUUGCAUAUCUGUUAACAUUAGUUAUGUAUGUCUCAGCAACUGAUUCUGUUUUCUGCUAAGCAUAUGAAUCAGCAAUGGACUUCCAGAAUUCUCAAUAUAAUUACUUCCUUCUCUCUUUCUUUCCUUUUCUCUGCUCUGUUAAUUCUCUUAUAACUUUCCCUCUCUUUCUUGUCUGCUAACUAAUUGUUAUUUGCUUGAUCUAAAACCAAUUCAGCAAGUCAGGUUAAUGAACCUGAGUCCUGUCAGGACUUCUAACAUGCAAAAAUCAAUUGUAAUUAUCAAGGUAAGAUAAAACUGCUACGUUUACAUGUUCAUGGAUCCAGCUAGCUCGCGGAAGAGCUAAGCUUGAAUGUAUUUCAUCAUGUGUUCUCUUUCUGAACUCAUUCCCCAUCAGUUUAACACUCUGGUAAAAUAAGGCUUUCAAAUUAUGGCCUAAACCUGACUCAACCAACAUAACAAAUCUUAGAAAUCAAUCUAGAUAUGUUACAUAUAUUCCAAGUUCUUUCAAAAAAAAAAAAAAAGGAAAGAAAGGGUUAUUUCCUGCAUGAUGAUCUGUUCAUAGAGUUCAUAACUGAUGAAGUUUCUGCAUGAUCUGCUAAAGAAUAAAUUAUCAUGGGAAAAUGGGGGAGCAUAAAUCAUAUGACCAUGUAUGUUCAUUCAUAUCCUAUGAAGACUGCAUAUAUAUAUCAAUUCAUAUUCAAUCAAACCCAUUAGCAGAAUAACAACAACGGCUGAUCCAAAACCAAAACAAAUUCAUGAAUAUCAAGUUGGAAACAUCCAGUACCUAUUCAGAAAAAAUUUAGCGGACAUCGACGUAAUAAAAGGAUUGGUCAUGGUGCAGAAUGGCAAUCUGUUCCUGGAAAAGUAUAUCAUAGCUAGUGGGCUGCAGCAAACUGUGGGGGAUCAAGGACUUCGAAUCCUUGUAGUCGUUGUGUUACACUGAAGCGCAGACGCGAAACUCCUGCCUUUCACUUGCUUGCGAAAGACUGGAGGAAAGUUUUCAAAAUCAAUGAUUAUCAUUUUUACGAAGGAUUGCAAAUCGAUUGUUGAGCAGUAACUAGUGAGCAGAAUCAGGCUAAUAAUGAACAAGAGGAGAAGGCAGAUUCACCAUUGGCUUGUGAUAAAGUACAGAAGUGAGAAUAACUACAGAAGACAACUCAAAGAUGAUGAUCCAUAAUUUAUAAUUUUAUGUUACUAUUUUCUAUUUCAUCUAAUUAUAUAUGCUGGCUAGUCUCUGUCAGUCUCUUGAAUUUUCAGGACUGCUUUAUGCAAUUCAGAAGCAUGUAAUCGUGUGUUCUUUGCACAACAGUGUUAGUGCAGCUCUAAAUAUAAC